UAAUAACGAACUCUUCAUCACUGCAUUGCCAACGCCCCCCACCCACCCCAGCGCCCCUCCUUCUCUUGAUCUCCCAUUUUCUUUUAUCUUUUUCCCACCUCUUCGCAGUGACCCUUACGCGCAAUAAGAAUACGCUGCCAACGCGAGCACAUCACCACCACCAACACCACUACCACCGUCCCACCCACACGCGCGCCCAAGCACGCACGCGUUCCUAUCAUCAAGGGCCAAGAACACAGAACGAAGGAUUUGCCGCGUUGGUGGGUCGGUCGUGCAGUAUCGCGCCCCCUUCCCCCUUGUUUCGCGAAGGCUCACGUACGUCGCUGGUGCACCCCCUCCCCCCUCACACACGCGCACACCAACGCACGCGACGAGGACGGAGAGAACAGAGAGAGAGAACGAGAGAACGAGACGUGGAGGCUGCAAGAACGAAAAACGCGAAAUACAGAAACGACAUAAACGAAAAAAGGAAAAAAAAACUCCCGAAGGAAAAAGGGCCGUCACCACCGCAUCGGCGCGCAGCGGCGAGGAGCAUCAAGAGCAGCCACACGGUGUCUUUCUUCAGGCCCCUCUGUUGGUGUUCUGCACAUUGCCGCGAAGGGUGCACAUCGGUGAUUCGUGAUAACGUGAAGCGAGCGAGACCACAUAUACAUACAUACAUAUAUCUACAACUAAGUGCCAGCAUCAUCGCGAACGGCUCCUCUCCAGUGCACUCUUUUCCGUUUUUGUGCGGCUUGCGACGCUUGCUUCUCCUCAUUCGCGGCACGUCCUCGUGCCCCCUCCCUUUCCUCACAUCUCGCUGCUCAGCACGACUUCACAUCCCCCAUUCCUCCCCCAUAAAAAAAGUGACGUACUCCUUUGACUUUGUUUCGUAUUUCACGUUUUCGUAUUCACAAAUUCGUCGGGGACUUCACCGCGGCACGUCGUGAGUGGAUCCCACUGGAUCAUCAGCAUCGAUCAUCAUCACGAUUUACAGUUUUCGUUUUCGCUUCCCAUUGCAGUGUAGCUUUCUAGUUUUUGUGCCUUUCCCUCCCUCUCUUCCUUCAUCUCCCUCUCCUGUUUCAUCUUCGCUCCCAUUACUUCCUACCCUAUUCCUCCUCUUCUCUAUCUUUUUUUUGUUGAUUGAAGGCCCCCCCCAUCAUCAUCAUCAUCGCCAUCUCUUCUCUUGCCCGUUCCGUUUUCUUUUUUUCCCGUUGAGUGAUCUCUAUUUCUCGUUUCUGUUUCCGUCUUCCGCCUCCUCUUCUCUCACGAACACCCUCGCUAACGCGAUUCCGCGGUGCCUUCUGUGGAGUGCUGGUCUGCGUGUGCUUCUUCCCACCGACCCGAACCCCUCUCCCCUCCACGUCUUCCGCAUCACUCUGUCGUCUUUGGCGUGCCACCCAUUAGCAUCAUCGCGCUCGAGCACACACACACACACACACACACACACACACACACACAGAAAACAGACCUCCACACGCAGGCAACCGCCACAGCGUGUGUGUGUGUGUGAUACGAAGAGCACGUGACGGCAUAACCCACCCCCUCCAAAAAGGAAAAGGCCGGUGGACAGCAUAUGUUUAUGUAGGUGUGUGCAUGUGUAUGCAUGUAUAUAUGUGCAAGUGAUAACCUCCCCCUCCCCCUCCCCCUCCCCCUCACCUCUCACUCCCCCCCACCUCUCCCCCUCUCCUCCUUCUCCCCUCAUUUCUCUGCAUGCGCUCGUGCAUGUAUUCCUAGUGCUCCGUUUGUGUUUUGGUUACGUCGUCUAAACCGAUCCGUUGUUUUCUCUUGCGUGUAUCAGCUCGCUUCACCACCACCUCUCUCUCGCCCUUGUAGCUACACAUCGACGCAUAUAUCUAUAUCAUUAUCUCUGUCUCUGUCUCUCUUCGCCGCCGUCUUGCGUUGCCGCCUAAGCUCCAUCACAGUGGGGGGACGGAGGACAGCAACAACAGCGAGGUUGCCGAAAAACACAGAACAUCACAGCAAGAUCGACGCGUGUUGCGUGUUCAGGGAAGAGAAAACCACGCGCUCUCCGCCCUUCUUUUAGUUGUCGUCGUCGUCGUCGUGUGCGCAUGUGUGUGUCGUUUUGGGUCUCCCCGCAUUCAUUUCUAUUUCUAUUUUUUUUUUGGUGUUUGUCGUGUCCUUUUCAAACUUCGCCUGUUUUCGUUUUCUUUUUUUUUUUCGAUAUUGACGUGAACCGAACGCGGAAACCCUUACAAGCCCCUCUCCCCCUCCCUUCUCGUCGUACGUGUCGAGCGGACUGUGCGCUUGACGUUUCUCUGGGUAAGGCUCAGUGCACGUUGCCCGUCUUUGCGUUGGCGCCGUCGCUCACCCCGUAGUGUUUGGGCGAUCGCGUGCGUGGGUGUUGUCGUGCCCGCAUCUUUUCACUUCGCCGACUCAGUGAUUUGAUUUAUUUUCUUGGUCUCUCUCUCUCGCUGAGUGUGUGUGUGUGCAUCCACUCGCUCACUGUCCUUCUUUCUCGCGCGAGGUUGCACGCUUUUCAUUACUUGUCGUGUUGUCCGACUCUGUCGUGCCGGAGAGCCACCGCGCCACACUCCCCCUUCCUCCUUGUUCCGUUGGUGUUGACUAACACGUUGGCCUUCCACUGCGAUCGACCGUUCUCAGCCCCCCUAUCAUUAUCAGUGUUACCAGUCGUCUUUCCCCUCGGAACACGUUCCGCGCUCCUCUACUUGUUGUGCGCGUGUCUGUUGUGCGUGAUUCUUAGUAUACAUCUAUCUCCCUCGCUCAGUGUGUGCGUGUUCCGCCUUUCCAGUGCCAACCCCCUCCCUUCCUCCCUCCCUUCCUCCCUCCCUUCCUCCCUCCCUCCCUUCCUCCCUCCCUUCCUCCCUCCCUCCCUGCUCACACACACACACACACACCACCCCCUUCUUUUCUUUAAAAUCGCUGACUGUUUCGCUGGCGCCACAGCAGCGUGAUCCUGCUCGACGGCCUUCUCACGCUACCCAACGCCCAACACCCAACACCCCCCCCCUCUUACUCCUUUUUUGCUCUUCCUCGCUGGCACUAUCGUGCUCUCCGGUCGACCCCUUUGCCGAACCAACGAACAUAAAACAGUACCCCGCCAUCAAGAACAGCAGAGGGGGGGGACGCCUCGCACAACCAUGUCUCAUCUGACGUCGCCGAUUUUGCUGAAGCGCCGCGCGAGUACCUCUCGUGUAUGCGCGGCUGGCGAUGUGAUCAACGUGCCGUCGCUGGGGAUGGAAGGGUUCGAGAACAGCGCUAGCUCCAUGGGGCACGACGCCUUCACUUACUCCUCUCACCUUCCGGACACCGUCAGCGCCAUCAGCCUCAGCGAUUCCGUAUCGCACGAGCUCAGCACGUGUGUCCUCACCAGCCCCCCGCGCACGGGCCGCUUCCGAUCCGCGAGUCUGACGCUCCGACGGCAGUUCUCGAAGCAGCUCAGCGGUGGAGCUUGUCGCGCCAUCCCUCGCGCUGUCUCGGUGCUCGUCCUCCUCAUUAUGCUCUAUGCACUGAUCGCAACGCAGUUUUCGGACGACGCGUUUGUGGAUCGCAUGAGGGAUCCGCUUGGCUACCUGUUGAAUAUGAAAGACCCGGAGCACGGCCCGUGGUCGGUGCUGGUGCAGCACGAGGGCGCCGUGAGCCGGCUCAACAUUACCGCUCAGCAAACUUGCCGCAUCGGAUCGAUGCUCUGCAGCCCGCUGCGCAUCGGCGCGGGCUUUCUGCCCUCGUGGACACUGCACGUGGUGGAGAAGGACUGCGCAGACUGCACCGACCGACAGACGCACGACAGCGCUGUGGAGGGCGUGGAGUUGCAGCCACAGCACGCCGUGUACGCGACGUCGUCUGCACCGCUGGGCCGCGUCGGGCCGAUGCUGCUGGCGAUGACGAGCGUGACGGACGACGUGAAUGUGCGCACGGAGCUGCCGCAGUGGGAGUGGCUGCGGCACGUGUACGGUGAAGGGUUUCCGACCGCGGGCGGCGCUGACGAGGGGGCUGCGCAGCCGCGGACACCGUAUCUUGCCGUGAUGGGCAUCCCGUCGACGGAUCAGCCGGCGCGUGCUGCGCUGCGUGAGGCACAGCGCAGGACGUGGCUGACGUACCAGGAGGUGGCGCGCACGGAGAACCACUUCGAUGCCGCGCUGCUGGCGCUGUACGUCUUCGCCGCGGUGGAGCCCAAGGUGGCCCCGAAUGCAUCAGAGAGCUCUUCAGCAUCCGCGCGCAACGGCACGUCAGCUGCCGAGCCGAGGCGAGGGCGCCUGAGUGCGCUGCUGCCGACGACGGCGGAGUACAAGGCUGCCACCGAGGCGCUUCUGGCGGCGACUGCGCAGGCCGAGGGCAUUGACGACUUGGCCGACGAGGGCAUUGUGCAGCGCCGGAUGGAGCUCCGCCGCGACUGGAACAUCGCUGCCGUCGAGGACACACCGUGUGCGGAGGUGGUCAGCCGCCGCGUGACUGUCGGCGCGGAGACGUCUGCGCUGUCGUACCUGAGCGGCGCCCUGUCGCUCCCCGUGACACCCGCGUUCACGUCGCCGGCGGAGUACGUCUGCCACGCGUCGUCUGCGCUGUGGCAGGAGGCGCUGACGCACCGCAACGUUGUGUGGAUCGACAUGAUGACGGACCGCCGGCCGACCACGAACAAGACGCUUGGCGACACGAUCAAGUGGGGCCUUCCCGUGGAGGUGGGAAUGAGCCAGAAGCUGAUCCUGUGGCUGGAGUACGCGUACCACGCCUUCAAGGAUGUGCCUUUCAUCAUCAAGGGCGAUGACGACAGUUACAUGAAGGUGCCGCAGUUCCUGAGCGAUGUGCGGUACGUAGUGAGCGGCGCACAAAAACGUGUGCCGCCGCCGGCUGCCGAUGGGGUGAAGGACAGCGCGUACGCGGUGGACGUGAACGCGACGGAGUGCGCGUACUGGGGCAGCAUGCGAGUCUUCAAGAACGCGCAGUUUAACGCCGGCAUGACGUUCAUGGUGCACAGGCUUCUUGCUCAGGUCGUGUUGGAGCCGAGGGGUGAGGACGGUCAGGUCGACAUUGCGAAGAUGGCGAUGAUGGAGUUCGAUGCGAGCUUGUCGAAGGUGUACCACGCAGCCCGAUUUCAUCAGGAGGACAUCCUCAUGGGACUGCUGGUUCGAGGCUCGCUCCGCCGCGCUCGCGAGAUCUGCCCUAACAAUCGCGUGUGGUAUGUGAAGGAAGGUUUUGCUCGGUUCCACGACUUGCACCGCGGGAAGAUGCACGACGUGACGUGGUCGACGGUCGUGGCGCAUCGCUGCACCCCCGCUGAUUAUUAUUACUUGCACCACUUCUUCCAGAAGGAACUGGGUGCCACGCUGGCAGGGUCGAAACGAAAGAGCCGUGCUGAGAAGGACGCUGUGGCACAGGCGGCGGAGUGGGUGGCGGAGAAGCGGCGUUCCACGGGGCCCGAGGUGGUGGGCUGGGACACCUUGCCAGAGGUGAGGUGGGUGCACGCGCUGAAGCGGACGCCUGCGUACGACAUGGCGAAGGCGGAUGGGGUGCCGGUGUAUCACAACAGGUACGAGUACUGGGUGGAUCGCACCACAUCUGUCGACGAUGGUUACCGCUCUCUACCGCAGAAGUGAGGGACAGAGAUGAAGCGGCUUUGCGGCGUUUUGGUGAGGGCGCGUGGGGCAUCUCCUGCCGCCGCCGCCCCCCCCCCCUGCUGCGCCCCAGUGCACGCCUCGCCCCUCUGCCUUUUAUCUCCGUGCUCGCUGGACUGCCGCUGCUCUUGUUGUGUGAGGGUCUUCAUGGAUGAACCGUACGAAAAUCUUGCUCUUGUUUUUUUUUUUCAUUUUAUGUGCGUGCUGGCGCCCCGCAUGCGCGAAGUGCCUGUGCAUGUGUGCGUGUGUCAUUCCUUCUCUGUGUUUUCUGUUUCUUUCGGUUGACUUUGAAAUCGCGCAUCUGCCGUUCACGGUUGCGACUACCUCCUCCUCCUCCUCGCAGCUGUACGUAUGUGUGUGCUUGUGCUUUCGGAUGUGCGGAAAGUGACGUCGUCAGCGGCUGCUCCAUGCGCCGCUUCGGCGUUGUGUUUAUACAUAACGUGCUCGUGCGCGUGUGCGUGCGGUCCUUCGGCGAAUUUGGGGAUAAGAGCGUGCGGGCGGAAGGGAUGCUCUGAGGUAAAGGCUUGCCACCGUAUUGAUGGUAUCGACAGCUUGCUUCUUGGAUGUGUUCUUUUCGGUCCCUCUAGGCGUGUGUACAGACACCUACACCAGUGACGCACCUUCGCCGUUGUGUGGCGCACAUAAGCUGCUUCUCCUCGCGCAGCGGACCUAUCCACAGGGAGGUUGGGGGGGGGGCUGCGGUGCUACGGACCGGACACAGACGCUCGCACCGACUGACUUCUCUCCUCCUUUUCACCGUCAGAAUAAGCGAGCAUACCUGCCGGUCGACACGAGUUCGUCUCCAUGAGCCUUCGCUCACGGCGUUCACGGCGCAUACCCCUCUACCCCCUUCGCCGCCGUCCAUCUCGUGCUCGACGGGUCGCCAAUGUCUCUGUUGGCCCACACGUUGCUGUGAGGUCGACGGCUGAACCUCUCUCCAUCCCUCCUUCUGUGGUGCCGGCGUUGCUCCUCUGGGAUGGUAGUUUCGUUGACCUGGUGAGCCGUACCGGUCUUCUCGCACAGCGGCGCGGCCCGCUCAGCGCAGCAGUGAGUGGGAGGGAUGGCAGCACGAUAACGGCAGCCACUUUAGCGAUGUGGAACACGGGCAGUGGAGAGGGUGUUCCGCUCGGGGGGGGGCGAAGGCCGCGCCGACUUUGCCCAUCGUCUCGAAUCCGACUUGGCAUGGCGAGGUGACACCCUCGCGGUCCCUUUUUACACAGACAAGCACACGUGACACGCGAAGGAAGGGAGGCGGGCGCGAGGUGCGCUGCAUUGGAAACGUUGGAUAGGCUCAUAAUCAUCAUAAAGCGAGGGCAAGGGCGCGGAGGAGCACUCUAGUUACAGUGCUCCUCCGCGCCCUUGAGGAGAAUGCCACGCCGUGCGGACUACGUGAGCGCUUGCCAAGCACUUUUCGCUUGGCUGAUUCUUGAUUUUUAUAGUUUCCUUUCCGUCCUCCCUGCGCAGGACGUGUGGACGGAGAUGAGGUGGUGAAGAGAGGGGCGAGGAGAAGGAGCCGAGGCGCGUGGGAACACUCCUGGGCAACGCCUUGGAUGCAUGACUCCACGGCGAACACGUGGGUACGUGUGCACAUGUUUUGUGAACCUGCUCGCCCUGUGCGUUGACGCGCAUGCCCUCAUAGGGGCCGCCUCGUAUUUGUGUCUUGCGCACGUGUGCCGACCUUCGUGCCCCGUCCUCUCUUCGCUCACACGCACUCAUCCCCCCCUCUCCCCCCCGCAGUCUGACGACCUUCCAGCGCGACAGGCAACAGCAGUAACAACACAAAAGACAAAACGUUAUGCAUAUAUGUAUAUAUGUAUGUGGGGUGUAUCUUCAUUGGCUUUUUUGUUGUCUUUUCACGGGUUUUUGUUUGUGGAUGUCGUAUUUCAUUUAAAUUGUAUGCAUGGAUGUAAUUUUAUUAACAUGUUGAUGUGGUUCUCGUUUUCGUACUGUGCAUCCUUUUUUAUCUUAUUAUAUUUUUUUUUUUCGCUGUUCUUGUGUCUUGCUCAUAUGCAAUGUGCUCUUCUGCAUUUUUGCCCCCCCCCCCCUCCUCCCUCCCAACUCUCUUGUUUUCGUAGUGUGCGUGUGUGUGUUACCCCUCCGUGUGGUGGCUUAACUACCUUCCUUUCCCCCUUUCAUUGUAGUGUUUUAUUUUUCUCGUCUUCUACGCUGCCGUUCUUUUUUUUUCGUGUGUUUUUUCUGUGCGGUCUUGUCUCUCCCUCUCUCUUUCCUUAAUUUUCCCUGUGUGCCGAUGCGUGUGUGUGCGUGUGUGUGUGUCUUAUCCACACACUGGCAGCCUUCCUCCCGGUUCUCUCCACACGUUCCUUCACGUUUUUCGUUUUGAUGUUUUCAACAAAUUUAAAAAAUGAUUCUAUGUAACGCAUACACUUGUGCCCUUUCUUUCUUUACUUCGCGGCUCCGAGCAACGUGAUUGCCAGCAGCAGGUGGUGCCCCUCCCCCUACUCCUCUUCCUUCCUUUUCUUUUCGUGUGUACUUCCUCGUGCGUGUGUGUGUGUUGUCUCUUCUCCUCCUUAUCAGUUUCUGAUUGUUGUUGACAGGGAGAAGGUGCACACACGCACGCCAUUUUCUUUUCCAUUCGUUUUUUUUUUUGGGAUUGAAGCGAAACCGAUAAAAAAGAAAGAGAAGACGCACGCGCUGGGUAAAGGAAGAGAUUCGAGGGGAGAGGAAGAGGGGUGGAAGGACGCGCGCGCACGCGGUAGCCACUCAGGAUGAGGUGCGUGCGCGCAUUGUCGUGUUUCCGGUGUGCAGGCGCAAGGGGGUCACACCCGAAAUCACGACCACUGCCACCACCAGAGAAACGUAUCCGACGCACAUGUAAUGUCCUUCUCCCUCCCUUCCCCCCCCCAAAUCUCUUCUUUCUUUCUCAAGCGUUCGUUUCUGUUUUUUUUUUCUUUUCUUUUGAUGUUUUCAUGUGCUUGUUCAUUGAGCCCUUUUUUUCGUGCCCGCGCUUCGCUGCCCUGGGUUCCCAUCUGUGCGGGUAUGCGUAGCAACGGUGCGUCGCACACACCGCUCCUUCCUCCACCUCGUCCUCCUCCUCCCUGCACACAUAAUCACAAACACAUGCAAGGGAAAACCAGCAAAUACGACGACCGCAGCGCAUUUUGAAGGAAGACUCUCGAGGGGGAGAACAUAUCCGAGGAGACCAACACAAGAGGGCAAGCGGCGAGUUUAUUUUUUUCUCGUGCAGCUGGCCGCCGUCGAGGUCACCGCGGACGCAUACAUAUCUGCAGGGAGGCACCAACCGGAUAAUGUGGAAAGAGAGAAAGUGAUCGGGUUGGCGGAGGCGAAGAAAGCGAAGCUCUUCUUCGCUCUCGGCCCUUCUUUCGGGUAUGUGUGCAUUCUCAUUCCUGCGCGUUCUUCCUCUAUUUCGUCUCCCUCUAUGCCCUUCAGCUCGGCGUGCACAUCAGUGCAGCGAUACGUCUUUUUAUGUUCUCUCGCCUUCGUUUGUCUCGCAGGGCGCACAAUUGUGCAGAUACGUUGCCUGUCCUCUUUUUUUUUGUCUGCUCCCCAUGAGGUGUUGUCUGCAGCGCGCGCACGCUCUCUUACUCCAUUUGACUUCCCCAUUCUAUCACGCACCUCUCGCUAUUUUUUUUUAUUAUCUUUCGUUUUUAAUCUCAAGGUAUGGCGCGCCCAUCCGCCCGCCCCCAAACCCCACACCCCCACUCCCUUCUCACCUUCUUGUGCCUUGUAGUGCAUCAGGCUUCUCAACGCAAAUACGAACACAGCGCGCAUGCACGCAUGCGCGCACGCACACUGUCCAUUGGUAUGACGUAAGCAUUCCCUCUUGUUUUCGUCUUUUGACCCUUUUUUCGCGGUUCUCGACGCACAGCACGAUUUUUUUUUGUUCUCCUUCAAUGCUGCCGCUGCGUGCAUUUCUUUCCGUGUUGCGUGUCUUACGGUCUCCGUGAUGCCCCCCCCCCCCCCCCCCCCUGCCUUGCCUUGCCGUUGGUGUGUAACUCCUCAUCCCUCCCCGCCCCGCCCGCCUUCGACGAACACAACCAAACAGCAAUAAGACGAGACGAAGCGUGCUUCUCGGGUACUGUUCUCCUCCUCCUCCUCCAUCCGCGGCUCUUGACCGCGCGUGAGGCUCUUGUGUGUGUCUUGCUCAGAGUUCUGCUACCUUUUUCGUUUUUUUUUCCGGUGUUCUUGUUGGCGUUGGCGGUGCUGCCCCUCCUCACCCGACAGUGUAGGCAGCGCCCCUAACUGGGUUCGAGCCACUGCAUACACCCACACACACCUACAAACACCUUUUCCCCAUUGCCACUCUCAUUUUUCAUUUUAUUUUUUAUUUUUGCUUUCGUAUGUGCGUGACGCUCCGACUUCCUUCCUCGAUGCACCUCGUCAGGCUGCUGCAGCGGCCGUGUGUGGCCUUGAUACGCUGUGAGGAUGAGGGCGCAUGCCUUGCGGGCUGUCCGUUCCCACUUCCCUUCCUCCCGGACAAGACACACACACACACACACAAGAAAAAGAACGAACACUUUUGCUUGGACUGCGUUCGCAUCUCCGGUGUCUUGGGGGGAGGGAUGGAGGGCUGUGUGUGUGUGUGUGUGCCACCGUUCCGAGUACGCGUUCUUUCUCCCGCUUCCUUGUUUUGAGUUGCCCUCUCCCCUUGGCGCGGCCAUCGCUCCCACCCAGCCCCUCAUGCGCCUUCGCGCUUUCCAGCCGACUGUGCUCCUGCUUCCGUAGAGAUUUGCGUGAGAGGUAGGGAGAGAGAUUGGGGACGAUGACCGCACCGACGGGUAUCGGAUGUCAGGCAUGCAUGCCGGUGUGUGCGCACGUGCGUGUGUGGUGCAUGUCUGUGUGUGUGUUGGAGGAGGAAGAGCUACGUACAGGCCAACACCACCCCACACCCGUUCACCACCGGCUGUAGCCUCUCUUCGCACUUCCCCCUCUCUCUCUCUCUGCCAUGGAAGGCUUCCCGGGGAGGGGAGGGGGGCUGUUCCGUCCGUCAUGUGCGACUGACCACUCUGCCCCCCCCCCCCCCCCCCCCCCCCCACACACACACACACACCGAGGUUUGCUUGUUUUCCUUUUGGUGAUUUGCGUCUCAUUGACCUUCCUUGCGUGCCUCCCCUUCCCCCUCCCCCAACCGACCAAACCAUUCCACCCUCCACGCACACACACCCCACCCCCUCCUGGGCGCCGACGCUCCUGUCGAUGGCGGCGGCGGGUCGGUAAUCGGUUUUGCGGCAUAUCGCCGUUCUCAAUGAACCGCCGAGCAAAAACAAG
rnacentral:misc_RNA from 1 species